rnacentral:rRNA from 1 species
AACGAACGCUUGCGGCGCGCCUAAUACAUGCAAGUCGAGCGAGAAAGUAUCUUCGGAUGCGAGUACAGCGGCGGACGGGUGAGGAACACGUAGAUAAUCUGCCUUAGAGUGGGGGAUAACUAAUCGAAAGAUUAGCUAAUACCGCAUAAGACCACAGGGGCUUCGGCUCUAGGGGUUAAAGGAGCAAUUCGCUCUAAGAUGAGUCUGCGUCCGAUUAGCUCGUUGGUGAGGUAAUGGCUCACCAAGGCAACGAUCGGUAACUGUUCUGAGAGGAUGACCAGUAACACUGGAACUGAGACACGGUCCAAUCUCCUACGGGAGGCAGCAGUAGGGAAUAUUGCACAAUGGAGGAAACUCUGAUGCAGCGACGCCGCGUGAGCGAUGAAGGUCUUCGGGUUGUAAAACUCUGUGAUAAGGGAAGAUGAUGACGGUACCUUAUCAGAAAAGACCGGCUAACUUCGUGCCAGCAGCCGCCGUAA